rnacentral:rRNA from 1 species
UACUGUAUAUAUCACCCUGUAGCUCUCAAUUGGCUACCUCCUGAAGCUACGCAGGGUUGAGCCUGGUCAGUACCUGGAUGAGAGACCUCCUGGGAAGCCAUGGUCACUGCUGGAA